GUGAGGAAUAUUGGACAAUGGGCGCAAGCCUGAUCCAGCCAUGCCGCGUGCAGGAAGACGCAUCUAUGGUGUGUAAACUGCUUUUGUACGGGAAGAAACACUCCCUCGUGAGGGAGCUUGACGGUACCGUAAGAAUAAGGAUCGGCUAACUCCGUGCCAGCAGCCGCGGUAAUACGGAGGAUCCAAGCGUUAUCCGGAAUCAUUGGGUGUAAAGGGUCCGUAGGCGGUUUAAUAAGUCAGUGGUGAAAGCCCAUCGCUCAACGAUGGAACGGCCAUUGAUACUGUUAGACUUGAAUUACAAGGAAGUAACUAGAAUAUGUAGUGUAGCGGUGAAAUGCUUAGAUAUUACAUGGAAUACCAAUUGCGAAGGCAGGUUACUACUUGUGGAUUGACGCUGAUGGACGAAAGCGUGGGGAGCGAACAGGAUUAGAUACCCGAGUAGUCC
rnacentral:rRNA from 1 species